rnacentral:tRNA from 1 species
CAAAAUAUAGCUUAAACCAAAAGCAUUCAGCUUACACCUGAAAAAUGUCCUCCAAAACAAGACUAUUUUGA